rnacentral:rRNA from 1 species
GAUGAACGCUGGCGGCGUGCUUAACACAUGCAAGUCGAACGAUGAAAGCGGGAGCUUGCUCCUGCUGGAUUAGUGGCGAACGGGUGAGUAACACGUGAGUAACCUGCCCUUGACUCUGGGAUAAGCGUUGGAAACGACGUCUAAUACCGGAUACGAGGCGUGGGGGCAUCCCCAACGCCUGGAAAGAACUUCGGUCCAGGAUGAGCUCGCGGCCUAUCAGGUAGUUGGUGAGGUAACGGCUCACCAAGCCUACGACGGGUAGCCGGCCUGAGAGGGUGACCGGCCACACUGGGACUGAGACACGGCCCAGACUCCUACGGGAGGCAGCAGUGGGGAAUAUUGCACAAUGGGCGCAAGCCUGAUGCAGCAACGCCGCGUGAGGGACGACGGCCUUCGGGUUGUAAACCUCUUUUAGUAGGGAAGAAGCGAAAGUGACGGUACCUGCAGAAAAAGCACCGGCUAACUUCGUGCCAGCCGCCGCAGUAAUAC